rnacentral:rRNA from 1 species
ACGGACGCUGGCGGCAUGCCUAACCCAUGCAAGUCGCACGAGACCUUCGGGUCUAGUGGCGCACGGGUGCGUAACGCGUGGGAACCUGCCCUUAGGUUCGGAAUAACUCCCCGAAAGGGGUGCUAAUACCGGAUAAUGUCUUCGGACCAAAGUUUUAUCGCCUUUGGAUGGGCCCGCGUUGGAUUAGCUAGUUGGUAGGGUAAAAGCCUACCAAGGCGACGAUCCAUAGCUGGUCUGAGAGGAUGAUCAGCCACACUGGGACUGAGACACGGCCCAGACUCCUACGGGAGGCAGCAGUGGGGAAUAUUGGACAAUGGGCGAAAGCCUGAUCCAGCAAUGCCGCGUGAGUGAUGAAGGCCUUAGGGUUGUAAAGCUCUUUUACCCGGGAUGAUAAUGACAGUACCGGGAGAAUAAGCUCCGGCUAACUCCGUG